GUUCAUUUUGUUAUUUUCACUACUAAAAUGAGAAAUUCAACAGGGUUGUGUCUUCACAAGGGACAUCAACAAAGCCAUUAUGAUCAGUGACGCCAUGGAAACUGGCACAGUUCAGAUCAACUCUGCACCAGCUCGAGGACCUGACCAUUUCCCCUUCCAGGGUUUGAAGGACAGUGGAAUUGGAUCUCAGGGGAUCACAAACAGUAUUAACAUGAUGACCAAGAUCAAGAGUACCGUUAUCAACCUGCCUUCCCCUUCGUACAGCAUUGGCUGAGGUUCUUAAUUACUAAUCUAUUACCGGACAAGAAAAUUGGUUCGAACUAAGGUAUGAGUUCUAAUGGCUUAUCCUCUUUGGAGGCAUUGUAAUUAUGGCUUGUAAAAAUAAAUUAGAACAUCUGUGAUUUGUCUUCUUUGCAGUCAUCUGCUUCUGUAAGUACCUAAUUUAUCUUACAGUAUUAAUGAGAAUACUGAGAUUUUUCUUUAU